rnacentral:rRNA from 1 species
GACGAACGCUGGCGGCGUGCUUAACACAUGCAAGUGGUGCGACGAACCAGGCUUCGGCCUGGGCCGAAGCCGCGAACGGGUGAGUAACACGUGGGCAAUCUGCCCCUUUUAUCGUGACAACCCGGGGAAACCCGGGCUAAUACCGAAUGAGGUGUCGACUCAUGAGAGUCGACACGAAAGGAAGCUUUGGCCUCCGCGACGGGAUGUGCCCGCGGCCCAUUAGCUUGUUGGUGGGGUAAUGGCCUACCAAGGCAACGAUGGGUAGCUGGUCUGAGAGGACGAUCAGCCACACUGGGACUGAGACACGGCCCAGACUCCUACGGGAGGCUGCAGUGGGGAAUCUUGCGCAAUGAGCGACAGCUUGACGCAGCAACGCCGCGUGAGGGAAGAAGGCUUUCGGGUCGUAAACCUCUUUCAGUUAGGACGAAGCUUUAUUGGUUAAUAACCAAUUUGAGUGACGGUACUUUCAGAAGAAGCCCCGGCUAACUACGUGCCAGCAGCCGCGGUAAUAC